GACGAACGCUGGCGGCGUGCCUAAUACAUGCAAGUCGAGCGAAUAUUUGGGAGCUUGCUCCCAAACGUUAGCGGCGGAUGGGUGAGUAACACGUGGGCAACCUGCCUGUAAGACUGGGAUAACUUCGGGAAACCGGAGCUAAUACCGGAUAACUUCUUUUCCCUCCUGGGAAAAGGUUGAAAGACGGCUCCGGCUGUCACUUACAGAUGGGCCCGCGGCGCAUUAGCUAGUUGGUGGGGUAAUGGCUCACCAAGGCAACGAUGCGUAGCCGACCUGAGAGGGUGAUCGGCCACACUGGGACUGAGACACGGCCCAGACUCCUACGGGAGGCAGCAGUAGGGAAUCUUCCGCAAUGGACGAAAGUCUGACGGAGCAACGCCGCGUGAGUGAUGAAGGUCUUCGGAUCGUAAAACUCUGUUAUCAGGGAAGAACAAGUAUCGGAGUAACUGCCGGUACCUUGACGGUACCUGACCAGAAAGCCACGGCUAACUACGUGCCAGCCGCCGCCGUAACAC
rnacentral:rRNA from 1 species